rnacentral:rRNA from 1 species
CCUACGGGUGUCAGCAGUGAGGAAUAUUGGUCAAUGGGCGCAAGCCUGAACCAGCCAAGUAGCGUGCAGGAUGACGGCCCUACGGGUUGUAAACUUCUUUUAUACGGGAAUAACGCGCCUUACGUGUAGGGCUUUGCAUGUACCGUAUGAAGAAGGACCGGCUAAUACGGUGCCAGCCGCCGCGGUAAGACGGAAGGUACGGGCGUUAUCCGGGUUUAUUGGGUUUAAAGGGAUCGUAGGCGGCGUGUCAAGCGUGCUGUGAAAUGUCCGGGCUCAACCCGGGCCUUGCAGCGCGAACUGGCGUGCUUGAGUACGCUGAAAGCAGGCGGAAUUCGUCGUGUAGCGGUGAAAUGCUUAGAUAUGACGAAGAACCCCGAUUGCGAAGGCAGCUUGCUGCAGCGGAACUGACGCUGAUGCUCGAAAGCGCGGGUAUCGAACAGGAUUAGAUACCCUUGUAGUC